rnacentral:rRNA from 1 species
UACGUAGGUGGCAAGCGUUGUCCGGAUUUACUGGGCGUAAAGAGCGCGCAGGCGGUCGUUCAAGUCGCGUGUGAAAGCCCCCGGCUCAACUGGGGAGGGUCACGCGAUACUGAUCGACUCGAAGGCAGGAGAGGGAAGUGGAAUUCCCGGUGUAGUGGUGAAAUGCGCAGAUAUCGGGAGGAACACCAGUGGCGAAGGCGACUUCCUGGCCUGUUCUUGACGCUGAGGCGCGAAAGCUAGGGGAGCAAACGGG